AUUCCAUGAUGAAGGCAUUUUCCUAAAAACUACUUUAAUAUUUCUCAAGCAUCAAACAAUGAUUCAUCCUCUCCUUGUCUAAAUGAGGUGAUUUUAUUCCUCAUUUU